rnacentral:lncRNA from 1 species
AUGGCCUGGACUCUGCUCCUCCUCCAGUUCCUCCUCACUUGCUGCCCAGGGUCCAAUUCUCAGGCUGUAGUGACUCAGGAGCCCUCAAUGACUGUGUCCCAGGAGGGACCAGUCACUCUCACCUGUGUACCAGCGCACUGGGUGCUGAUCACCAGUGGUAACUAUCAAGCUGGUUCAGCAGAAACCUGGACCCCCAGGACACUGAUUUACAAUACAAACAGCAGAGCUCCUGGACCCUGCCCGGUUCUCGAACCCUCAGCUGGGGGCAAGCUGCCCUGACACUGGCCAGCCGAUUGCACAGCCGAGGAACCGAGGCUGAGUAUUACUGCUCGCUGUACUAUAGUGGUGCUCAGCACAGUGACAGACUCGUAAGAGGAACCAAGACAUAAACCUCCCUAGGCCCUUGUGAUGUGGAGAUCACAUGAUCAGACAUACUAGCUCUCAAAGCAGCUUACAUGUGGACCAGUCAUAGGGGAAGGGAAAGGUAUGAAUUGAUUCCUAUUUCUGCUUCAGCCCUGAAGUGCAGGAAAUGUGAGAAUGAUAUGGGAGUUACUGGAUCCAGAAAAAAAAAAAAAAAAAGAGUUAAUUGUUUUCUAUUCCAAAAGGAACACUAACAGCUAGAUCAGAUCUAAAGGUUGAGCCUAAAUAUAUUUCCUCCAGAAAGAAGCUUCUUCAAAGUAUGGGCUUUCUGAGCUAAGAGCAAAGACAAGAAACUAUUCUUUUUGUAUAUUACUCAAGGUUGUUUUAUUGAGUUACUAUCAAAGAAAUACAUGCCUAUUAUAUAAAAUAAGAAUAUUAAAAACCACCAAGUUCACUGUAAAGCUAUCUCAUCGCAAUCAACAUAAUUACAUUACUUCAUUUGGAAGCAUUCUUUCAUUAUUGUUCUCGAUAUUUCCACAGAGGUGAUCAAACCUUGUGCUUAUUUUUUUUCUGAUUUUACACAUCUUUUAAGCUUAAUGUGAGUAGUGUUCCAUUCUUCAAAAGGAUAAAAUAUUUGAAUCAUUUUUAAUUUUUAAAAAUUUUUUAUUAUACUUUAAGUUCCAGGGUACAUGUGCACAAUGUGCAGGUUUGUUAAUUUUAUUUUGAUUUGAGUACCAAUAAAAAAAUACAGUUAUAUAGGUAAUUCCAAUUGUUAAAUUUUCAUACAAAGAUGGGAUAUUGUGUUAUUAUUAAAAGAUGCCUGGUUAUUUCUGCAGAUUUAGUGCAGUUAGGGAAAAUGCCUGCAAUUUUCAAUGCAAAGCCUGGAGUACACUAUGCCUGACUUCACAACACACAACCUAGAGAAACAAGGGUUUCCAGCUCAUGUUUGCUGGAGCAUAAUAGAUUCGGUACCAGGAACAAUUUAUAUGCAAAACUAUUUCAAUGUCUUCAUGCAUGUGUUGGAACAGUACAUCUCAAAUUUUAUUGUGCAUACAAAUUAUCCGGGGAUCUUACAAAAUACAGUUUCUGAUUGAAUGAGUAUGAAUUGCUGAUGCAGUCUCUGCAUUUCCAAAAUGUGCCUGCCACAGAAAAUCCACAUAUAUGUUUCAAUAGUAACAAGUCCAGCCAGGAGCAGAGGCUCACGUGUGUAAUCCUAGCACUUUGGGAGGCUGAGGCAGGAAGAUUACUUGAGGCCAGGAGUUUGAGACCAGCCAAGGUCAACAGAGCAAGAUCUUUUCUCUAUGGUUGUAUGUUUUUAACAUGAAAAAGGAAUUAGCUGGGAAUUGUGCUAUAGGCUUGUAGUCCUACAUACGAAGGAGGCUGAGGCAGGAGACGAGCUUUAGCCCAGGAGUUAAAAGCUGCAGUGAGCCAUGAUCAUGACACUGCACUCCAGCCUGGGUGGCAGAGUGAGAUCUUGUCUCUAAUAAUAAUAACAAUAAGUCCAUAAGAACAGUAUAAAAUAAAGAGAACCCUUGGCAGACAAGAGCUUAAGGAAAAUCUCUGACAGGGAAUGAAUGAGGUUGGAUGAUAGAAGCACCCACACUCCGUGGAGGGAGAUGACCAGGGAGGACAGCGGCAAAGCUGGGAGAGGCUCCCCUUUCUUUACAAACAAAAACAAAAGCAAACAAACAACAAAGCUGACCUCCCCUCUGGCUCCCGUCCAACAUUCUUACUGGCUUCUCUUGCGUUCUUUUCUAUAGUGUAGCCCAUCCUUACGCACCCCCUUCCACAUCUCUGAUUCCUGAAUUCCCUUCUUGGGUCCCUCCCCUUUUCCUACCACCAUUUCUCCCCUCUGACUUCCUGAGUUCAUUAUCAAGGGCUUUAUAACAGAAAACUGGUUGCAUUUUUCUAGAUCUGUCCUUGAAAGUUGACACUCAUAUUUUUAUUCUCUUUCUUGAACUUCUCUGAUACUCUUAGUUUUGAAGAAGCCUGAAGUUUUGGCUGAUUCUCUUUCUUCACCUCAGCCGGGUCCUCCUCCUUCUCCUUCCUGGGCUUCUCGGUAUUUCCAGUGAAUCCAGUGAAGCACACAAAUAUGCUAAUCAAUUCUCCCCAACGCCCACCGCUCCGUCUUAUGUGCUGAUCUAGCGAGGAAUUAAAUAGGAAGAGAGACCCUUGGGUUUCUGUGCAGCCUGGGAAGUGAGUUCACGGCUAGACUCAGCUGGGACACCAGACACCUGCUGCCUGUUGAUGGUUAGUGGUCCCGGGGUCCUGCAGCAGCUGUGUCCUCCCAGGGUGCCUUGAGAGUCACUGACCACGCUCUCCUACCUCCCACUCACCUCUCCUCGAGGAGGACAACCAGACUCAGCAUCCUUUGUGAGGAGUACAGCCAGAGAUCAGCAUAGAUUUGCAUUCAGUCCUUUCCUCUAAAAGAUGCCACAGAAGAAGGGCUGUUCUGCCUAAUCUGUGUGGCUCAGGAAGCAGAGCUCUAGAGACAUCUCUACCAUGAAGUAGACCCCUCCUCCUCUCCCUCCUCAGUCUCUGCACAGGUGGCUAGGGACAGAAGGCAGGGACUGGCACUGGGAGGAUCAGAGCUCUGCCUUGCUCCCCUGGCUCAUGGAACCACCUCCCACAUCCUGUGUCUCUCUCCUGACUCUCAGGACCCUGGGCAGUCGGGGCUCACUUGGUAGCCUGCACAGUCUGUCUGUGAUGAAACCAGUCACCAUCUCCUGGAAGCAGUAGCAAAAAGGUUCUUGGAAUUGUAUCCUGGUACCAACAAUGACAAGAAAGGGCCUCCAAACCUCUGGUUUAUAGAAGCACAUAUCUGCCUGCAGGGAUCCAGGAUGGAUGCUCAGGCUACCAGUUUGGCAAGGAGGCCUUCCCAAGCAUCUCUGAGCUUCAGGCUGAGGACAACACUGAUCUCAACUGUUGGCUUCAGACAGCCCCCUGGAGGCACUGUUUGUGCUGCAGUCUGUGGGAGUGAGACAGGAACAUGUCAGGUCUCCUAGGAGUAUAACCUAACUGCAGCACCACAUACAACCAGGACAGCAGGGCUGUUUACCAUUUGUGUGCGUGUUUGCUGGUGCUGCUGCUAACCAGGGUCCAGGGCUCAGAUUAGGGACAGUGAUCUAGAGAAUGCUGCUUUGUUUUCUCAGGGCCAGACUUCAGAGAGAGCCCUUAGCCACAGCAUUGUCAGACUGCCUCAGAAGAAUCAGAAAGUCCUUGAUUUCUGGAACAGGCUGCCCUGGGAACAGAGUCAUGAUAGGCCAGGGCAAGCAGGGACAGAAUCCAGCUGAGUCUGUCUCAGGCACAUGCACUAAUAAAGAUCUCUGUUUUUCCUUAUUGUUUAUUGAUCACCUAUUAUGUAUGAAACAGUUGUAAAUAAAACUUUUGCUGAAUUACUGCCUUUAACAUAUUUUGGGUCCUUUAUUUUUCCUGCAAAAUUUUCAUUAUUCACUGUCUUUUUGAACAGCCCCUAGCUGCCCUUCCACCUGACUCCAUAGCUAACCCAUUUUCCAUGAUGCCCACUCUGAUGGCACAUGUGGGUAAAUAGAUUUUCCUAAAAUGCUCUUCUGGGGUGCUGACACCUUUAAAAGUUGUAUAUGUACAGGUCUACACAUCCCACAGACCAAGACUGCUUAUGGGAGUGAGAAAUCACAGUAAUAAUGAAUAGGAUGAGAGAAGCAAUAUCUAGGAAUCAGACCAUGCGUAUGUGAAUACAGACAGUGACUAGAGAGCUGCAGAGACCAGCGGGGUUCUGAGGUCUCUGAGCCAUGGGAAAGUGAGUGUCCUGGUACCAACAUCGGAUGUUGUGUGGCUGCCCUGUGGUUCCUACACGGCUGCUCAGUAAGGACCAUUCAAUCAAAGAAAUCCAGGCCUGGGAGCUGGGCCCUGAUGGGCACUUGGCCGCUGUGUCCCCUCUGGCCUGGCAGAGUUCCCUGAGCAGGGUCCUGUGUAUGGUCUCAACAGGUGCUUCCUCCCAGGGCCUUGCAAAACGAAAAGCAAACCUUCCUCCUGCUCAGUCUGCAGAGUGAGCUGAGCUGCAUCCCCAGGGCUCAGGGAGGGGCUGGGCAGUCCCUGGGUGGAAACACAUUUGCAUGAGCAGCCCCUCCUCUGCAGAGGGUGGGAAGAAAAGGAGGCCUGGGGCAGCCCAGUCCCACUGCGGGGAAAGAGGCUGUGUCCACCAUGGCCUGGACUCCUCUCCUCCUCCUGCUCCUCUCUCACUGCACAGGUAGGAACAGGCCUCAGAGACCAGGGUCAGCCACCCAGCCUGAUUCCGACUCUUCUGUCAAAGAUCGCUAAAACAUGUGACCCUGGU